rnacentral:rRNA from 1 species
UACGUAGGGGGCAAGCGUUGUCCGGAUUUAUUGGGCGUAAAGAGCGUGUAGGCGGUUUGGUAGGUCCGCUGUGAAAACUCGAGGCUCAACCUCGAGACGCCGGUGGAAACCAUCAGGCUAGAGUCCGGAAGUGGAGAGUGGAAUUCCUGGUGUAGCGGUGAAAUGCGCAGAUAUCAGGAAGAACACCCGUGGCUAAGGCGGCUCUCUAGUACGGUACUGACGCUGAGACGCGAAAGCGUGGGGAGCGAACAGG